UCCUACGGGAGGCAGCAGUCGGGAAUUUUGCUCAAUGGGCGCAACCCUGAUCCAGCAAUGCCGCGUGAGUGAUGAAGGCCUUAGGGUUGUAAAGCUCUUUUGGCAGGGACGAUGAUGACGGUACCUGCAGAAUAAGCCCCGGCUAACUACGUGCCAGCAGCCGCGGUAAUA
rnacentral:rRNA from 1 species